CCUGUAUGAAAAUAAAACUCUCAUUACAUUACAUGCAUUCAUUUAGCAGACGCUCUUAUCCAGAGCGGCUUAAUACAGCUUUGGCAUUUGUACAUCAUUUCAAUAUACUCAGCUGGAUAUAAACUGAAUCAGAAUUUAGAUGCCAAUGGCACAGUUUAGACACUGGGUGGCACCAUAUGCAAGAUCGACACCGUGCAAAAGCAACACUCAGCAAUGGCCAUAUGCUUUGGUAAAAACCCAGGAGCAGCACAUCAUUUAAAAGUGCAGUCCUAGGAAGGUGAAGAAAUUGAAGGCCUCCUAAGGAAGAUUCCAACACUGCUAAGAUCUCCUUCCCAACGGCCCCCGGACACUAAUAGCAGCACUCCUGAUCGAUGGAGCGUAUCAGGUUCACGUUUACAAGCAUUAUGUUGCAUUAUUUAUUUGUCCUGCUGAUGCACUCGUCCAGGUCAGCUUAGGUAGCUCAUGUUGUUUUACAAAUGAAGUUUCUUCCACAUGUGGAGAAAUCAAUGCGGCACCGUUCGCUUUGAUCAGAACCUCGAGAGCUGGAGUGCACGGUGGCAGGUUUUCGCCUUGAGACUUCAACCGGCAACCUUCAGUGCCGUUCCCUCGGCGUCCCCCAGCGCUCGAUACCUCGCUUUCCUCUUUCCGGAACUUUCGCUCCUUUUUCCUUCGUAGUUGGUCGCUACUGACCUUUUUGUGCGGACGUGGCCCUGUAUCAGGUGAAUGAUCUACGCUGGCACCGGGGGGGGUUUUGUAACACAAACGCACAGUCUUCAGAAUGCUGAGGGCUCUCAGUGUCAUACUGCAAGCUCAGGGUUUGAACUACCAAGGAAUAGCUUCAUCAUCAGCUUUGUACUGCUACCUAUUGUUUUUGUUUUUUUUCAUCCUUGGUGAAUUCCUCUUACUUGGUAAAGCACUGACUGGCUCGUCGAAUGACUGGCUGACUUACUGAGAAGGAACACUGACCGACUCACUGGAAGAGGGGCUCACUGGCUGUCUGACUCACUGACAGACUAAAUGACACAGGUUUACUCAUGGGAUGAUAGAAUGAUUUGCUGACUUUUCGGACAGAGUAAGUGGGUGAGAGACUGACUGACCGACUGAUUGACUGGCUGACUGGCUAACUGGCUGGCUAGCUGGCUGGCUGGCUGGCUGGCUGACUCCUUGAUUGGCUGUUAAUUUGGCCUGGGUGCAAUGCAGCACCAAACUACCGGACGUCAGUGAUAGGAGUAACUCCCCUCCACCCUCUCCUCUCACUGCAGAGAGGAACAGGAGGGGGGCAGGGGAAUUUUGGAUGGAAAGAGAGAGAGAGAGAGAGAGGGAGAGAGAGACUGCAGCAUUGCAGAGAUUGGGCGUUGGCUGCAAGAGAGAGGGGCACAAGCAAAUUAGAGAGGGGGGGGACGAACAGACGCAGAAAGGACAGAGACAGAGGGGAGAGAAGGGUGGCAGAAAGACAGAUGGAGGGAGAGAAAAAGAGGGAAGCCAACACACAGUAAAUAACAAUAUCCUGACACUCAAGGUUAUAAACAAGCAGAACUGUACAUCCUUCACCGGAGAGACCUCCGCAGUGCUUCUGUGGGCAUUCAGAAAGGAAAUUUGUGCCUUUUUCCUUCCAGUGGAUUUAUCCCUGCUGAAAAAACAGCUCAAGCUAGGUUUUGAAACAGCUGGUAGCUGGUUGACCAGUUCAGACCAGCUCCCAGCUUGCCAUGGUUUGACCAGUUAAAGGUAAGUUUUGAAACAGCUGGUAGCUGGUUGACCAAUUCAAACCAGCUGCCAGGUUGACAUGGUUUGACCAGCUAAAGCUAUGUUUUGAAACAGCUGGUAGCUGGUUGACCAGUUCAGACUAGCUCCCAGCUUGACAUGGUUUGACCAGCUCAAGCUAUGUUUUGAAACAGCUGGUAGCUGGUUGACCAGUUCAGACUAGCUCCCAGCUUGACAUGGUUUGGCCAGCUCAAGCUAUGUUUUGAAACAGCUGGUAGCUGGUUGACCAGUUCAGACUAGCUCCCAGCUUGACAUGGUUUGACCAGCUCAAGCUAUGUUUUGAAACAUCUGGUAGCUGGUUGACCAGUUCAGACAAGCUCCCAGCUUGACAUGGUUUGGCCAGCUCAAGCUAUGUUUUGAAACAGCUGGUAGCUGGUUGACCAGCUGAUACCCAGCUAGACCAGCUUAUGACCACCUUGUCCAGUGCAAUUUCUUAGCUGGACAAGUUGGCAUAGCUGGAUUUUACAGCAAGGAUACCAUAUACUGGAAGCACAUGAGCGAACAGGACAUGCAUAUCUAGUGUGAGAGGCAUGAGAAAGAUACAUAUAAUUUGGCAAUUUGUACUGUACAAAUGUGUUUUUUGCAAAGCAAACUGAGUUGAAUUUGAAUUUGAAUUCAACGGUCUGUUUCAAAAAGAAUCUGCUGUGCUGUGUUUUCACUCACUGUAAUAAUACUACACCGUAAAACAAAAAUAAAUAUGGAUCUUCAUCGCACUCAGCCCGCCCUCUGAGAUUUGGCCCCAAGGAAGCAGCACACCAAAGCAGCUUAUUAUGUGACGCAUGAAGGGAGACUAUUAACCAUGUUGACAGUCCCAUUUUAAAACUCAUUCACAGUGCUGUUAUUGUGUGCACUACUGCCUUCCCUGAUAAAGUGAAAAUUGGAUUUCAGGCACACUAACACCACUCUCAAAGCCAGGAAUGAAGUUCAGCCUUACUCAGGCCUUAUCGGUGCCGGCUAUCCAAGAAAAACUACAAACUAUAUGGAUAAUAAACCUGUAGCUUUUCCCAAGAUGGCUAUCUGAGUGUGCAUGGUAUCUCAACAGUCAGUGAAGUAAAGGACUGCACUCCCAUGAAAAUUAUGGAAUUAUUGCAUAAAUGUUUUUGGCAAGACGCCCUUCAAAAUGGAAGUUCUAUCAAACAUGAAACAUAUACCUGGUGCAACAGGUAAGGUAACCUGGUUCGUAGUGGAACCAAAUCACGUGCAACAACCAGCUACAAGCGAGAUUGAAAUUAAACAAGCCAAUGCCAACUCCUCAUUAAGUCCUUUUGGCAUUAGUGUGUCAAAAUAAUAAAUCCAAAAUGCUUCCCUCAGGAGGGGGGGGUUAACGAUUGCCCCCCGCUCCCCUAUAUGACGACCUUAUAGCCUCAGUGCCCAUAUACUUUAAUUAACUUUAAUUUCAGUUCACUGUCUUCAUAGUGUUUGUAGGACCAGCACCCAGAUACA